UAGAUCCUACGGGACGCAACAGUGAGGAAUAUUGGUCAAUGGUCGGGAGACUGAACCAGCCAAGCCGCGUGAGGGAUGAAGGUACAGAGUAUCGUAAACCCCUUUUGUCAGGGAACAAAGGCGGGGACGCGUCCCCGGAUGAGUGUACCUGAAGAAAAAGCAUCGGCUAACUCCGUGCCAGCAGCCGCGGUAAUACGGAGGAUGCGAGCGUUAUCCGGAUUUAUUGGGUUUAAAGGGUGCGCAGGCGGUCUGUUAAGUCAGCGGUCAAAGCCCGGG
rnacentral:rRNA from 1 species